GCCACCGUAGCUCAGUGGUAGAGCACACCCUUGGUAAGGGUGAGGUCACGAGUUCAACUCUCGUCGGUGGCU
rnacentral:tRNA from 2 species